UACAGAGGGUGCGAGCGUUAAUCGGAAUUACUGGGCGUAAAGCGUGCGUAGACGGUUAUUUAAGUCGCGUGUGAAAGCCCCCGGCUCAACUGGGGAGGGUCACGCGAUACUGAUCGACUCGAAGGCAGGAGAGGGUAGUGGAAUUCCCGGUGUAGUGGUGAAAUGCGUAGAUAUCGGGAGGAACACCAGUGGCGAAGGCGAACUACCUGGCCUGUUCUUGACGCUGAGGCGCGAAAGCUAGGGGAGCAAACGGG
rnacentral:rRNA from 1 species